rnacentral:rRNA from 1 species
AGCAGUCGCCGCGGUAAUACAGAGGGUGCGAGCGUUAAUCGGAUUUACUGGGCGUAAAGCGUGCGUAGGCGGCUUCUUAAGUCGGAUGUGAAAUCCCUGAGCUUAACUUAGGAAUUGCAUUCGAUACUGGGAAGCUAGAGUAUGGGAGAGGAUGGUAGAAUUCCAGGUGUAGCGGUGAAAUGCGUAGAGAUCUGGAGGAAUACCGAUGGCGAAGGCAGCCAUCUGGCCUAAUACUGACGCUGAGGUACGAAAGCAUGGGGAGCAAACAGGAUUAGAGACCCCCGUAGUUCCUGUCUCUUAUAC